ACUGCUGAACAAAAUGCCAACACUUGCCAUCGAAGCGAGAGUAACCCCUUAGGCUUUGUUGUGUCUGAAUGUCAGCCACAAACUUCCAGUCCCAUUUCCUACACUGCUCACAAAACAAUGAAAAUGCCAGACCCACCAGAGUAUGUGUUGUAUACAGAUUCAGAACUGGACAUGGUGCGCAGUCAGUACUUUGCAUUGCUUCACAGUGGAAAGGAAAAGGACUGUAAGAUGUCGAAGGAGCUCUGUUGCAGACUUAUAAGGAACACAGUCACCAGCAUGGUUGCAAUCCUUCGUGCUAGUCCCAUGGGGAAAGAAGUAGGAUACCCCUCCAAACUUGAAAUGAGAGCAAUGUCACAGAAGAUUGUCGACUAUUACCCUAUGUUAUGUGAUGCUGACACACACAUGCCAUAUGUGACCAUCUACACCAAACUGUACAAACGACUCCAAAAUAUGAAGUCUCCAAGGAGGAAACAGGGUUCCAUGCUGCAGCGAGGCAGGCCCAGGAAGAUUAUUUUCAGCUCAGACAACUUAGACAAUGAAACUGAAGGUGACUUAAGUGGCGAAGCAAGUGGUUCAAGUGACUAUACCAUACUUGACCUCAGCAAGGACAACUCAAAUGCAGAGAAAGCAUCAAAAUUCCAUCUACACUCUACUGUACCAACACAGUCAAACAAUAAUACCCUGGCUUCACCACUAUUAUCUAAGUCAGCCUCAUGCUCUGCACCCAGGGCUGCCAUAGGUCCACCAACUCCAGAUGACGAUGUUGCAGACCAUGACAGCCUGAAGAUGCAGCCAAGACAUUACAAAACCUUGAGCAACAUGUACAGGAAACCAAAUGCAAAACCCAACCAAAGUGACGUUGCUCAAAUUUUGGACCUGGAGUUUGAGGCCAGACGAGCUUUUAUUGAUGCAGAUGUUACAAGGGAAGAAGACAGGCCCACAAAAAUAUUUGAAGCAUACCCGUGCUUCAAAGAUAUUCGAAAUGCGAUGGAUGAACUGUGUCGCAUCGUUGGUGGUUCCAACUGCAAAUGCAUAGAUCAAAUGAAGGGUAGAUGGGCAGAGUUUUGUUCGAAAGUGCAGUUCUAUGGCAUUUGGAAGAAGGUCCUGAAACCUCCUCUCCCCUUGGAUGUACGUGGAGUGGAGUUUACUGUCACUCUCUUCAAUGCACUUCCAUCUCUUUUUCCUUCACCAACUACACCACCAAAGCGGCUGGGAAGUGCCAGUGAGGCUCUCCUUCAUAUCCUCCAGCCGGGUGAAGAUGCUAUGCUAUACCUGGAGAAGCGGCCUCUCUCCUCCCCAGUGCUGCUUUUUGAUGGGACAACCAGCAUUGUUGCUGUAGGAAACAUACCAGUGACCACUCUGCCCUUGGAGGAUUUCUGGGAAGGAAUGUUGGUGUUGAUGGCAUAUUACUACACCUUGCACUUAACAUACCCGAAAUGUGUUGCAACGGUCCUCUCUGUCGUACAAACUGAGGUAAUCACUGAUGCCAUCCAUGAUCAAGAUGCCACUUGUGCAUAUAAGAAAGCAAUAGCUAAGUGGAAGUCAUUCUUUGAAAAAUAG
rnacentral:lncRNA from 1 species